rnacentral:tRNA from 1 species
GCGAUUGUAGCUCAGCGGUAGAGCAUGAGGUUUCCAACCUCUGUGUCCUCGGUUCGAAUCCGAGUAGUCGCUCCA